rnacentral:rRNA from 1 species
ACGGGUGAGUAACACGUAGGAAUCUAUCCCAGGGUGGGGGACAACAGCGGGAAACUGCUGCUAAUACCGCAUGAUACCUGAGGGUCAAAGGCGUAAGUCGCCUUGGGAGGAGCCUGCGUCUGAUUAGCUUGUUGGUGAGGUAAAGGCUCACCAAGGCUACGAUCAGUAGCUGGUCUGAGAGGAUGAUCAGCCACAUUGGGACUGAGACACGGCCCAAACUCCUACGGGAGGCAGCAGUGGGGAAUAUUGGACAAUGGGCGUAAGCCUGAUCCAGCAAUGCCGCGUGUGUGAAGAAGGUCUUCGGAUUGUAAAGCACUUUUGGCAGGGACGAUGAUGACGGUACCUGCAGAAUAAGCCCCGGCUAACUUCGUGCCAGCAGCCGCGGUAAUACGAAGGGGGCUAGCGUUGCUCGGAAUGACUGGGCGUAAAGGGCGCGUAGGCGGCAUGUACAGUCAGAAGUGAAAUUCCUGGGCUCAACCUGGGGACUGCUUUUGAUACGUGCAGGCUAGAGUGAGGAAGAGGGUUGUGGAAUUUCCAGU